AACGAACGCUGGCGGCAGGCCUAACACAUGCAAGUCGAGCGCCCAGCAAUGGGAGCGGCGGACGGGUGAGUAACACGUGGGAAUAUGCCUUUCGGUUCGGCACAACUCAGGGAAACUUGAGCUAAUUCCGGAUACGCCCUUACGGGGAAAGAUUUAUCGCCGAAAGAUUAGCCCGCGUUGGAUUAGCUAGUUGGUGAGGUAACGGCCCACCAAGGCGACGAUCCAUAGCUGGUUUGAGAGAACGACCAGCCACACUGGGACUGAGACACGGCCCAGACUCCUACGGGAGGCAGCAGUGGGGAAUCUUGGACAAUGGGGGAAACCCUGAUCCAGCCAUGCCGCGUGAGUGAUGAAGGCCUU
rnacentral:rRNA from 1 species